AUGAACGCUGGCGGCGUGCCUAAUACAUGCACGUCGCGCGCACAGACGAGGAGCUUGCUCCUCUGACGUUAGCGGCGGACGGGUGAGUAACACGUGGAUAACCUACCUAUAAGACUGGGAUAACUUCGGGAAACCGGAGCUAAUACCGGAUAAUAUAUUGAUCCGCAUGGUUCAAUAGUGAAAGACGGUUUUGCUGUCACUUAUAGAUGGAUCCGCGCCGCAUUAGCUAGUUGGUAAGGUAACGGCUUACCAAGGCAACGAUGCGUAGCCGACCUGAGAGGGUGAUCGGCCACACUGGAACUGAGACACGGUCCAGACUCCUACGGGAGGCAGCAGUAGGGAAUCUUCCGCAAUGGGCGAAAGCCUGACGGAGCAACGCCGCGUGAGUGAUGAAGGUCUUCGGAUCGUAAAACUCUGUUAUUAGGGAAGAACAAAUGUGUAAGUAACUAUGCACGUCUUGACGGUACCUAAUCAGAAAGCCACGGCUAACUACGUG
rnacentral:rRNA from 1 species